GACGUAGGAUGCGAGCGUUGUCCGGAUUUAUUGGGCGUAAAGAGUUCGUAGGCGGUAUGACAAGUAGGGUGUGAAAGCCCUCGGCUUAACCGAGGAAUUGCGCUCUAAACUGUCGUACUCGAGGAACCUAGAGGUAAGCAGAACAGAUGGUGGAGCGGUGAAAUGCGUAGAUAUCGAGAGGAACACCUGCGGCGAAGGCGGGUUGCUGGGCUGACACUGACGCUGAUGCGCGAAAGCUAGGGGAGCGAACGGG
rnacentral:rRNA from 1 species